rnacentral:rRNA from 1 species
GAACUUACCUGUCUUACAUCUGAGAAUUUCCGAGAUGGUUGGUGCCUUCGGGAAUCAGAGACAGGUGUGCAUGCUGUCGUCAGCUCGUGUUGUGAAAUGUUGGGUUAAGUCCCGCACGAGCGCACCCUUUCCUUUGUUGCCAGCGGUUCGGUGGGAACUCAAGGAGACUGCCAGUGCUAAACUGGAGGAGGUGGGGAUGACGUCAAGUCAUCAUGGCCCUUACGAGUAGGGCUACACACGUGCUACAAUGGCAUAUACAAAGAGAAGCGACCUCGCGAGAGCAAGCGGUCCUCAUAAAGUAUGUCGUAGUCCGGAUUGGAGUCUGCAACUCGACUCCAGGAAGUCGGAAUCGCUAGUAAUCGGGAUCAGAAUGCCACGGGGAAUACGUUCCCCGGCCCUGUACACACCGCCCGCCACACCAGGGGAGUGGGUGCAAAAGAAGAAGGAAGCUUAACUUAAGGAGGGCGCUAACACGGAUUGAUUCAUGACUGUGAU